GACUGAUUGCUAUAAAACCAUUGCUAAGCAGUGCAGAGCAAGAACUGUCUGUAUGGCAGCAAACGGGGGAUUGGGGCAUAAAUGAAGACCAGCUCACCGCCUUGUAGAUUCUUUGUAUGGGGGAACUUCAAUUGUCUUUAGGAAUCAUGGAACGGAUAUCCAAGCCGCAUGCUUGGUAUGAACAGGUCCUUAACAAAAAUCGUGUAGAAUUCCAGCUUCCAAAGAUAUUUUUUAAAAAUUGAUUAAUUUUUAAAAAAUUUAUUAAAAAUGAAUGAAAAAAUUAAAACCAAUAUAAGGUGGUUUAAAAAGCAUAGCAGAAACUCUGAUUCAUUUCGAAGCAUCAUGGUUCUUGGCACAGCACUGUUUGCCACUUGCAUCCUUUUAUACUCUGAACAAGACAUGAAAUGAACACACACAUGCCUGGAUAUGGGAAUGCCUUUCAUUGAUGGAAGUUCCGGAGGUGAGAACAUGACGUGAACCACCAGUACUGCCUAGGAGGUCCUCUUGGCUUCUUCCUCUCCCUGUGACCACCGGAUGAAGACUCACCCUGAACAACAAGGUUGCCACAUUGUGGGUCAUUGGCCUCCUGCAGCACCUGAUUCAACCUUACGGCAAGAAAAUGUCUGGAAUUCUUUGAGAUUGUCAUGGAAUCCUUACACUUUCCUGUAAUAUCAUACUUCUGCUCUGACAAUAGACAUCAAUCAUAGAUCACUUGUGUCUGACGGACUUUACAAAUUGUGACAAAAGAAAGAUAUAUAUUCUAUGGGCUGCUUAUGGGCAACUGAAAUGUAUGAAAGGGAUUAUCCAGCACCAAAAAAACUGCUAAUUUCUCUCUUCUGUCCACAGGCUUUGUAUGAUAUUACAACUUUUGCACCAUUCACUUCAAUGGAACUGAGCUACAAAACCACACACAGCCAGCAGAUAAAUGUAAUGCAGAUUUCUGAAGACAUCAUGUCUGUUUUUCUAAUGCUGGAUAGCCCUUUUAAUAUAUCUUAUAGGACCUCUUUACACAGUGGAUUUUUUUUGCUAGAAAACCACCACCAAAUGUACAGAAGAAAUCGGAGGCAUAUGCUCGAAUUUUUUAGGUGAAUUUUGCUGUGGUUAUGGACACAGAAAAAAAGGUUAAUCCGCGUGCUUUUAAUUUGAUAAGGUUUCUGUGUGAAAACAUGUUAAAAAUGUACAUGCAUCAUAAAAGUCUGCAAUGUGUAGU